rnacentral:rRNA from 1 species
AUUGGGCGGCGAGCGGCGGACGGGUGAGUAAUGCCUAGGAAAUUGCCCUGAUGUGGGGGAUAACCAUUGGAAACGAUGGCUAAUACCGCAUGAUGCCUACGGGCCAAAGAGGGGGACCUUCGGGCCUCUCGCGUCAGGAUAUGCCUAGGUGGGAUUAGCUAGUUGGUGAGGUAAGGGCUCACCAAGGCGACGAUCCCUAGCUGGUCUGAGAGGAUGAUCAGCCACACUGGAACUGAGACACGGUCCAGACUCCUACGGGAGGCAGCAGUGGGGAAUAUUGCACAAUGGGCGCAAGCCUGAUGCAGCCAUGCCGCGUGUAUGAAGAAGGCCUUCGGGUUGUAAAGUACUUUCAGUAGGGAGGAAGGUUCAUGCGUUAAUAGCGUAUGGAUUUGACGUUACCUACAGAAGAAGCACCGGCUAACUCCGUGCCAGCAGCCGCGGUAAUACGGAGGGUGCGAGCGUUAAUCGGAAUUACUGGGCGUAAAGCGCAUGCAGGUGGUUAGUUAAGUCAGAUGUGAAAGCCCGGGGCUCAACCUCGGAAUUGCAUUUGAAACUGGCUGACUAGAGUACUGUAGAGGGGGGUAGAAUUUCAGGUGUAGCGGUGAAAUGCGUAGAGAUCUGAAGGAAUACCGGUGGCGAAGGCGGCCCCCUGGACAGAUACUGACACUCAGAUGCGAAAGCGUGGGGAGCAAACAGGAUUACAUACCCUGGUAGUCCACGCCGUAAACGAUGUCUACUUGGAGGUUGUGGCCUUGAUCCGUGGCUUUCGGAGCUAACGCGUUAAUUAGACCGCCUGCGGAGUACGGUCGCCCGAUUAUAACUCAAAUGAAUUGACUGGGGCCCGCACAAGCGUUGGA